AGAUAUAUAGCUCAGUAGUAGAGUGCUUGUUUAGCAGACACAAGGCCCUGAGUUCCAUCCUCAGUAUUGCAA
rnacentral:tRNA from 1 species